UUACGGCCACAUCAUGUUGAAACACCGGUUCCCGUGCGAUCACCGAAGUUAAGCAAGGUCGAGCCUGGUCAGUAUCUAGAUGGGUGACCACUUGGAAAUGACUGGUGUUGUAAG